rnacentral:rRNA from 1 species
GACGAACGCUGGCGGCGUGCUUAACACAUGCAAGUCGAACGGUGAAGCGCCUUCCUUUUUGGUGGGUGUGGAUGAGUGGCGAACGGGUGAGUAACACGUGAGUAACCUGCCCCCUUCUUCUGGAUAACCGCAUGAAAGUGUGGCUAAUACGGGAUAUUCUGGGUCUGUCGCAUGAUGGGUCUGGGAAAGAUAUUGUUUCGGUGGGGGAUGGGCUCGCGGCCUAUCAGCUUGUUGGUGGGGUGAUGGCCUACCAAGGCGGUGACGGGUAGCCGGCCUGAGAGGGUGGACGGUCACACUGGGACUGAGACACGGCCUAGACUCCUAAGGGAGGAAGCAGUGGGGAAUAUUGCACAAUGGGCGCAAGCCUGAUGCAGCGACGCCGCGUGAGGGAUGGAGGCCUUCGGGUUGUGAACCUCUUUCGCCAGUGAAGCAGGCCUGCCUCGUUUGUGGGUGGGUUGACGGUAGCUGGAUAAGAAGCGCCGGCUAACUACGUG